rnacentral:lncRNA from 1 species
CAGGCUGCUCCAGGUCCCCUGGAAGCUCCAGAUCCAGAUCCCUGACUGGGGGUGUAGGUCAGGAGGAACGCGGGGCCUCAUUCUGGGACUCCCCCAACCUCCUCCUCUUCCACCAUCAGGAGGCUGAGAAUCCAGAGAAAGAUCUCUGACCACUAAAUCUGUGUGCAGCCUCUGAAGAGCCAAUCCAUUCAGGAUGGGAAACCACGCAGGCAAACGAGAAUUAAAUGCCGAGAAGGCCAGUACGAAUAGUGAAACUAACAGAGGAGAAUCUGAAAAAAAGAGAAACCUGGGUGAACUUUCACGGACAACCUCAGAGGACAACGAAGUGUUCGGAGAGGCAGAUGCGAACCAGAACAAUGGGACCUCCUCUCAGGACACAGCGGUGACUGACUCCAAGCGCACAGCGGACCCGAAGAAUGCCUGGCAGGAUGCCCACCCAGCUGACCCAGGGAGCCGCCCCCACUUGAUCCGCCUCUUUUCCCGAGAUGCCCCGGGGAGGGAGGACAACACCUUCAAAGACAGGCCCUCUGA